rnacentral:rRNA from 1 species
GGGUUGUGAGGUUAAGCGACUAAGCGUACACGGUGGAUGCCCUGGCAGUCAGAGGCGAUGAAGGGCGUGCUAAUCUGCGAUAAGCGCCGGUAAGGUGAUAUGAACCGUUAUAACCGGCGAUACCCGAAUGGGGAAACCCAGUGUGAUUCGUCACACUAUCAUUAACUGAAUCCAUAGGUUAAUGAGGCGAACCGGGGGAACUGAAACAUCUAAGUACCCCGAGGAAAAGAAAUCAACCGAGAUUCCCCCAGUAGCGGCGAGCGAACGGGGAGGAGCCCAGAGCCUGAAUCAGCAUGUGUGUUAGUGGAAGCGUCUGGAAAGGCGCGCGAUACAGGGUGACAGCCCCGUACACAAAAGCGCAUGUGCUGUGAGCUCGAUGAGUAGGGCGGGACACGUGGUAUCCUGUCUGAAUAUGGGGGGACCAUCCUCCAAGGCUAAAUACUCCUGACUGACCGAUAGUGAACCAGUACCGUGAGGGAAAGGCGAAAAGAACCCCGGCGAGGGGAGUGAAAAAGAACCUGAAACCGUGUACGUACAAGCAGUGGGAGCACAGGUUUACCUGUGUGACUGCGUACCUUUUGUAUAAUGGGUCAGCGACUUAUAUUCUGUAGCAAGGUUAACCGAAUAGGGGAGCCGGAGGGAAACCGAGUCUUAAUUGGGCGUUAAGUUGCAGGGUAUAGACCCGAAACCCGGUGAUCUAGCCA